rnacentral:rRNA from 1 species
UACGUAGGUGGCAAGCGUUGUCCGGAUUUAUUGGGCUUAAAGGGUGCGUAGGCGGUCCAUUAAGUCAGCAGUGAAAUACGGCAGCUUAACUGUCGAGGUGCUGUUGAUACUGGUGGACUUGAGUACUGAUGAGGUAGGCGGAAUGGACGGUGUAGCGGUGAAAUGCUUAGAGAUCGUCCAGAACACCGAUAGCGAAGGCAGCUUACUAAAGAGUAACUGACGCUGAGGCACGAAAGUGUGGGGAUCAAACAGG